rnacentral:lncRNA from 1 species
UUGCAUCGCCCAAGCAUGCACAAUCCGACACAAAUUGAACCUGCUGCUCUACGCAAAUCAAACAAAAUAACACAAGAUGCCGCAGAUACCAAGCUGCUCCACACAGAAAUCCAUCUUGGUGCCUUCCUCCUGCAAUUGUAGCAGACGACCGGUGGCCGCUCGUACAAGGGAGCAAGAGAUCCCGUCAUCUCUGGCGCCACAUAUUGAAGACGCGCUCGAGCUGGACGAGCUCGCUCUCAG